rnacentral:lncRNA from 1 species
GCAGGCUGGUGGGUGCCGAGGAGGCCACUAGGAGGCUGAGACGGACAGAAUGAAGUUCUUCGAGGAGGCCGAUGAAGACAGAAUAUGGAUAAGGCCAAACCUACACAAAAUCCUUCUACAUCUUCAUAUCAAAACAUGUUAAACAUAAACCUCCAAAUACCUACAGGGAUACAAGCACAGGGCUUCCUAAACAGGCGGGAUAUGCAGCCUCGUUCUAUCCCAGGCCCACACAGAAAGUGUUGGGGGAGUCACUGAAGGAAGGAGGAGAAAGAGCUCAGAAGAAGCCAUAAGAGAGCAAGACAUGGACAGGAAACCAAGUGGCCCCAGCGCCCCGCAGGAGAGCUCAGACUCCAGGGCUGGGGUGGCGCAGAGCGGGGCGUGUGGAGCGCAUGCCUGCGAGGGGCCUACGAGGCGGCUGCGAGGCAUAAGGUUCUGUGAGCCCGGUGUGAGCUGGCAGAUGUUACCACAGGACAAAAUUAGAAUGUGUAACUUGUAAAACAGCAGAGAAAAACUUGAUUUCUCCCAUGUAAAACAAGAAUGUAGGAAAAUGAAACAAAUGGAAAAUAAAUAAUAUGGAGAUUAAGUUCCAGUAGACAAUAGUUCAAUGGAUAUUUAUAGAUGAGUAAACUGACUAAUGAAAAAGAAUUCUUAGAUUGAACUUUUUAAAAAUAAAGAUCCGGCCAGGCGCGGUGGCUCACACCUGUGAUCCCAGCACUUUGGGAG